AUGCUGUAUGAAGGAAAGAAGGUUAGCAUUCCCCUUGACAAGGACAGAGAGGCCCUUGGGCCUGUACAACACACACAGAGUUAAGGCAUCAUCGCCUACUUGGUGGCAUCCAAACAUCGUUUUGA
ensembl:snRNA